rnacentral:tRNA from 1 species
GGUUCCGUGGUGUAGUGGUUAUCACGUCUGCUUUACACGCAGGAUGUCCCCGGCUCGAUACCGGGCGGAACCA